rnacentral:rRNA from 1 species
GCAAGUCUGAUGGAGCAACGCCGCGUGAGUGAAGAAGGGUUUCGGCUCGUAAAGCUCUGUUGGUAGUGAAGAAAGAUAGAGGUAGUAACUGGCCUUUAUUUGACGGUAAUUACUUAGAAAGUCACGGCUAACUACGUGCCAGCAGCCGCGGUAAUACGUAGGUGGCAAGCGUUGUCCGGAUUUAUUGGGCGUGAAGCGAGUGCAGGCGGUUCAAUAAGUCUGAUGUGAAAGCCUUCGGCUCAACCGGAGAAUUGCAUCAGAAACUGUUGAACUUGAGUGCAGAAGAGGAGAGUGGAACUCCAUGUGUAGCGGUGGAAUGCGUAGAUAUAUGGAAGAACACCAGUGGCGAAGGCGGCUCUCUGGUCUGCAACUGACGCUGAGGCUCGAAAGCAUGGGUAGCGAACAGGAUUAGAUACCCUGGUAGUCCAUGCCGUAAACGAUGAGUGCUAAGUGUUGGGAGGUUUCCGCCUCUCAGUGCUGCAGCUAACGCAUUAAGCACUCCGCCUGGGGAGUACGACCGCAAGGUUGGAACUCAAAGGAAUUGACGGGGGCCCGCACAAGCGGUGGAGCAUGUGGUUUAAUUC